GAUGAACGCUGGCGGCGUGCCUAAUACAUGCAAGUCGAGCGAACAGACGAGGAGCUUGCUCCUCUGACGUUAGCGGCGGACGGGUGAGGAACACGUGGAAAACCUACCUAUAAGACUGGGAUAACUUCGGGAAACCGGAGAUAAUACCGGAUAAUCUAUUGAACCGCAUGGUGCAAUAGUGAGAGGCGGAUGUGCUGUUACUUAUAGAUGGAUCCGCGCCGCAUUAGCUAGUUGGUAAGGUAACGGUUUACCAAUGCAACGAUGCGUAGCCGACCUGAGGGGGUGAUCGGCCACACUGGCACUGAGACUCGGUCCAGACUCCUACUGGAGGCAGCAGUAGGGAAUCUUCCGCAAUGGGCGAAAGCUUGACGGAGCAACGCCGCCUGAGUGAUGAAGGUCUUCGGAUUCUAAAUCUCUGUUAUUAGCGACGAACAAAUGUGUAAGUAACUAUGCACGUCUUGACGGUACCUAAUCAGAAAGCCACGGCUAACUACGUG
rnacentral:rRNA from 1 species